GACGAACGCUGGCGGCGUGCUUAACACAUGCAAGUCGAACGGUAAGGCCCUUCGGGGUACACGAGUGGCGAACGGGUGAGUAACACGUGGGUGAUCUGCCCUGCACUUCGGGAUAAGCCUGGGAAACUGGGUCUAAUACCGGAUAGGACCCUGGGAUGCAUGUCCUGGGGUGGAAAGCUUUUGCGGUGUGGGAUGGGCCCGCGGCCUAUCAGCUUGUUGGUGGGGGGAUGGCCUACCAAGGCGACGACGGGUAGCCGGCCUAAGAGGGUGACCGGCACACUGGGACUGAGAUACGGCCCAGACGCCUACGGGGGGCAGCAGUGGGGAAUAUUGCACAAUGGCGCAAGCCUGAUGCAGCGACGCCGCGUGAGGGAUGACGGCCUUCGGGUUGUAAACCUCUUUCAGCACCGACGAAGCGCAAGUGACGGUAGGUGCAGAAGAAGGACCGGCCAACUACGUGCCAGCCGCCGCGGUAA
rnacentral:rRNA from 1 species